ACAUGGAAGAAGGGAAGCGUAUUAUUCACUAUUUGAUAAAUUAUCCCCAUUAUGCGAGAGGCAAAUCUGAGCAGGGACGGCGCUUUUGGCAGCCCCAAAGGGGAGCGCUGUUGUGUUGGAUGGAGAAACAACCUUGAUCUGCUCAGCUCCUGCCUGUGAAGUCACAAACCCAAAGGAACGGGGGGAAGAUGUUUGGCAGGGUCCAAAAUUCAUCUCCCUCUUCUGCCACCUCCAUGUGUCUCUCUGCUCCUGGAAAGGGACUCAUUUUGGCCACACUUUUCCCUGUUUCUCUCCUAUCUCCUCACAAAUUUUUAUCCUGGUGUGGAUAACAACGCCUAAGCACUUGUCUGGGUAUGGAUUCCUUGCUCCUCCCAGCCCCAAACGAUGCUGCAGACAGACACACGCCCCAAGGGAACACCCACUGCUCUCCCACACAAGUUCUCAGGGACCCAUGUGAGCACAGACACCUCCUCCCCACACUCCUGCACCCCAAACCCCAUCCCCACCGCUCCUGAUCCGCACAAAUGUAUUCAUGAAUUCGCCCAGAAAGUUCUCCCCGUGCUCGAGCGGGUGCUGCUUGUAAUUGCUGGCGGCCAAAAUCUGUUCUGUUUUUUCUGGCUGAGGUACCAGGCAAUCAUCAGCUGUAAUUAUUUCGAGUCUUGUUACAGAUGGAUCUCGGAGCUUUCAGUCUUAAGCAGAAUUCAUUAUUCAAAUGCUGGCUCCAGCCUUCUGCAGAGGGGUGGGCACGGGCGCUGCCGGCCCCCCGCAGCCGCCGCCGGUGACAAACGCUCGUGGGGAAGGUGAGGAUGUGGUGGGAUCUGCUUGUCAAAGCCACCCCUGCAGCUCCCUGUAGUUCCCACCCCGCUCAGGUUUGAUGCCAGGAGAAUGGGGGUGUCUGAGGGGAGCAAAGCUGGGGGGCUGUGGGGAGCUGGGGGUGUGGUCAGAACCAGCCAUGCCAGGUCCAAAAACAUCCAAAUUCCAGCUCCAAGCUCACUUUGGAUACACGACAGCACAUGAGAGGAGCCCUGGGGAAUCAGGAGUGACUCCAAGCACCUGGACAAGGGGUUACUGGGCCAAAUCAUGGAAUCAUUUGGGUUGGAAAGCACCCCCAGGAUCAUGGAGUCUGUUGAACCCAUCACUGCCCUGUCAAAUAAACCAGAGCACUGCAGGCCAGUCCAAGCAUUAAAUGGCAAAAGUGAAGCUGAAAAGGGAAUAGAUUGGAGCUUUUUAUUGACCAAACCACUGAUUUCAGCCUUUUCUUUUCAAUUUUGAAACUUCAAAAGUCAAACACUCUGAGAUCCUUAAAAUAUAUCGGGCAGAAAACGUUCCCUGAGCAAGUGAAAGCGCCUGCAGGAAUGGCAGUGGGGUCAGGGCAGGGCUCCCUGUGGUGCUCAGGCACAGCUGCCUGAGGACCUGCCACUGAAAUCCCCGUGGUGACACCCCUGGAAUCACAAUUUACGGCAGAAAGAUGCAAAGCCCAGCAGGAGCAUCAGCUGUGGCUGUGCAGUGUCCACCCAGCUGCACACCUCGCUCCCCUCUGGCUCAGAAUCCCUGUCACAGAGCCAGCACAUCCCUCUCCUCCCUCCAUAUGGAUUUCAGGUUUAUGACACAUCAAGAGUCACAAGGAAGGCAUUUAAUUCCAGCUUUUCAGGGUUUGUGUGGGAAAAGUAAAAAGGGAAUGUUUCCUGGCUGCCCCCUAGGCCAGUGCAGGGGCAACAUCCAAUUUAAAAAGUCAAUAUAUUCUGCAGGAAAUCUCAAUCAUCUUUUUUUGUUUUUUUUUUUCUUUUUU
ensembl:lncRNA